UACGUAGGGCGCAAGCGUUGUCCGGAAUUAUUGGGCGUAAAGCGCGUGUAGGCGGCUUAGCAAGUCGGGCGUGAAAGCCCUCGGCUCAACCGAGGAAGUGCACCCGAAACUGCUGAGCUUGAGUGCCGGAGAGGAUGGCGGAAUUCCCCAAGUAGAGGUGAAAUUCGUAGAUAUGGGGAGGAACACCGGUGGCGGAGGCGGCGACCUGGGUCGAGACUGACGCUGAGGCGCGAAAGCGUGGGGAGCAAACAGG
rnacentral:rRNA from 1 species